GCAACAUCAGGACUUCUUAUAGCUGAAACAUAAUCAGAUGGCUUCCAGGAAAUUUCCAUUUCAUAUAACUUUUCAAGUUGAAACAGCCUCUCAGAAUACAACCUCUAAGUGUCUUCGAGUGUGAAGACACGCCCUAAUUUUCUCCUAGAAAAAUUUAUUUGUCAAUAUACAAGCAGCAACAACCAUGUGAUAGGCAUUCUAGACUGAAGUCUCUUUGAAGCUCUUUGCCAGCCAAAUGGCAGUUUCUCUAGGAGAAACCUUCUCAGGUCCAAAUGGCUUCAACAGCACUCCAAGCUCUUCGAACCGUUUCUGUUGCAAGAGCUGUGCACUAAACUCGAGCAAACCUUCUAAUGCUUCUGCACGCUGUUGGUACGACGAGGUGUCAAACCGGCGGUGUUGUGACUCUGAAGAUCGGCUUGAAACAGCAGUAGUUGGAUUAUGCUCUGAGCAUUCACUUCCAGUUUGUGCAACUUCAAGGCUGGUAUCAGUUAAAUGAAUCUUGGUAACAGCUCUUUCCAAAACCUGGACUGUACACUUGUCUUUCGUGAUUGAACAGUCAGCACUGCCUGGAGAUGAAGAGCAUUGUGCUGAAGUUGAUGAUGUUCCAGGGAUGGGAAUGUAAGGAUCCUCAGAAGAAGCCAAUGGGAAUUCAGCAAUCUUGUCAAUUCUUGGAGCAUUGACAGAAACAUCUGGAGACACCACAUUAGGCAGAAGGCCAAUCUUAGCCCUAUAAGGGGUAGCUAAGUUUGGAGCUUUCAUUGGGAAUGGAAGAGAUGCUCUGCGUGUAGGAUGAGAAGAUUUGCUUCCUGGAGUACAUGACGCUGGAAGCUGCAAAUUCAAAAUAAUAAUCACAAUGCUAUCACUGGAAAAGUUGUCAGAAUCAAGUGAGUUUUGCUCUGAUACACAAAACUGGAGCAGGCUUCCCAAGAAUGGCAGCUGAAGUCCAUACACAACAGACCAAAUAAGCUAUACUAGAAAAGCAUCAAGCCAUCAACAGCACCAAAACCCUAAAUAAACAAUAGGACUCAAAAGUAUUUAACUGGCCAACAACAAUAACACAGCUAUCACUGGUCGACUAUGAGAAAUAUUAGCAACCCAGACGCCAAUAAAAUGAACAACUUCAGCAUUUUUAGACCACUAUUCACAAACUAACCAACCAAAAAUAAGGUAACAUACUCAAGUCAUCCAUAUUUCAGAAGCUAAUAAAAGCAACAGAAAACAUAUACAAGAUGUCCACAAAAGCCAAAAAGAAAAAGCAUCCUUCGUUUCUAUACUUCUGUACGGACUUACCGAAUCACGUUUGGAACCAAUAUGGGGUAUCUUUAAUGGUAGUGUUAUUCUCUUUGGAGUACCAGAAACUUUAGCUGGUGUCACUCUUGGGGUUUUGACAGCCACUGAAAAUUUCGAGGAAACUGCUUUGUUAAUAUUAAUCUCUUCACGGACAACACCAACAGAUAUUUCUUUGAACUGUUGAUUCAAAUAGCUUGGAAAUUGCUCUGCUCUUUGUGAAGAAUCUGCAGAGUUUAGCUCAGUUUCAGAUAUACUAGGAUUCAAGGUGCAGUCAUUGCUGAAUGAUCGCCUUUUCUCUCUGUCAGUAACAAUGGUGACAGCUUCUGACUCUAUGAAUCUAGUUUUCUCGACAAAGUUGGAUUCAACACAAUGGACAGGGAAAGUAUUCUGCCUGGCGCUAUUCAAUUUUUGAUGAAUCUUGAGAACAUGAGGUUGAAGAUGAGGAUGACUGAGCAACUCUGCAGCACUUGGUCUAACUUCUGGAUUCUUCCGCAGCAUGCUUUUAAUAAUCCCUCGGCUGAAAAAUUAAAGAAACAGAGAAAAGAAAACAGAUCAGCAGAACCAUAAAACCUUAUGACCAUCUAAGUUUGGGAAAGAAGAUAAUAGAAGGAGAACAUGAGGAAAAUAAUAAAGAAGAGGAAAUAGUAUUCAUUUAUUAUGUUCGGGGGGAGAAACAAUGGAAAGAAAGUUGUUUUACAAAUAGUAACAUUAUUAAUUUACCCUUUGCCUUUUCAAAAAGAAUAAAAUUGUAGAAGCAUAAAAUUGCAAGUUAAUAAUAUUUUCUUACUUUCCCACCUAAAUUGGAAAGAAAAUGAAUGGUACGCCCUACCACUUAUUUUCCACUCUUUUAUUUUUCCUUACCAGUUACCUCUACUUUUUUUUUUCUUUCCAAAAAAAAAAAGAGUAGAAAAAAGUUAUUUUCUUUUCUGCCCUAUUUUCCUCCUUUAUUUUCCACCUUUCCAAACAUGGCAUGAGGAUCAUAAGAGCAGUUAGCCUUGUUUUAAAAACUUCUUGCUGAAGUGCAAGAGUAGGAAAAGGUUUUUUUCUUCAAGUAUGAUGAAUUGCUUGAAAAGAUGUUUAAGUUACUUUACUAAGUGAAAUAAAAUUUUAGAAACUUAAACUCUGUUGAUAUAUUUUAUCAUAUGUAAACAUGAAGUAGACUCAC
rnacentral:misc_RNA from 1 species